CCUGUGGUCACUGCCCCUUACCCCACCUAUCAGAGCCACCAGGCUCCCCCUGACUACGCAUACAGGCAGCCAGACCCCCCGGCACCCCCACAGCCCACCACCACCCCUCAAACGUACCAGGUAUACCCGGAAACGCAGGACAACUACAGCUACGGGCGUCCUGCAGCUGUGACUACCUAUGACAAUAAACAGUACUACCAGACGAGUAUAGCUCCGGCUCAGAGGACACACACAGAGAAUUACUACCAGACUGGAGUAAAGAGCGCUUACAGUCCAGCCCCCUCCACAGUGUACAGCCAGCCUCCUCCCCCCCAGCGUCAGGUAACGGCCCUCAAGCCUCUGGCCCCCUCUGUGUCCACCAGCUACAACAUCUACCCAGUGUCCACCAGUGUCCAGCAGCCGCCCACACCCAUUUCAUCCUACACCCUCGGCUCCUCCUUCGGCUCCACUGUUGCGGCCACCACCUACUCAGGCAUUAGCUACUCCAGUUAUGACUCAACUGGCUAUACCUCCACAGCCACCCCCUCCUAUUACCAGCCUGCCCAGCAGACUCUCACCCAGCCGCAGCCUCCACCUCAGCAGCUGCAACAGCCCCUGCCCCCCAUCCAGCCGCCACCGAAGCAGCUGACGAGCUCUUCCU
rnacentral:lncRNA from 1 species